rfam:TPA: Bos taurus unplaced genomic scaffold, whole genome shotgun sequence.
UCCCUCGUAGCUCAGUCGGUAAAGAAUCUGCCUGCAAUGCAGGAGACCCAGGUUUGAUUCUUGGGUUGGGAA